rnacentral:rRNA from 1 species
GUGGGGAAUUUUGGACAAUGGGGGCAACCCUGAUCCAGCCAUUCCGCGUGAGUGAAGAAGGCCUUCGGGUUGUAAAGCUCUUUCAGCAGGAACGAAACGGUGGCCACUAAUACUGGCUACUAAUGACGGUACCUGAAGAAGAAGCACCGGCUAACUACGUGCCAGCAGCCGCGGUAAUACGUAGGGUGCGAGCGUUAAUCGGAAUUACUGGGCGUAAAGCGUGCGCAGGCGGUUCCAUAAGACAGAUGUGAAAUCCCCGGGCUUAACCUGGGAACUGCGUUUGUGACUGUGGGACUCGAGUGUGGCAGAGGGGGGUGGAAUUCCACGUGUAGCAGUGAAAUGCGUAGAGAUGUGGAGGAACACCGAUGGCGAAGGCAGCCCCCUGGGUCAACACUGACGCUCAUGCACGAAAGCGUGGGGAGCAAACAGGAUUAGAUACCCUUGUAGUCC